rnacentral:rRNA from 1 species
AUUGAACGCUGGCGGCAUGCUUUACACAUGCAAGUCGAACGGUAACAGGCCUUCGGGUGCUGACGAGUGGCGAACGGGGGAGUAAGGCAUCGGAACGUACCCAGAGGUGGGGGAUAACGCAGCGAAAGCUGUGCUAAUACCGCAUGUGAUCUGAGGAUGAAAGCGGGGGACCGAGCAGCAAUGUUUGGCCUCGCGCCUUUGGAGCGGCCGAUGUCGGAUUAGCUAGUUGGUGGGGUAAAGGCCUACCAAGGCGACGAUCCGUAGCUGGUCUGAGAGGACGACCAGCCACACUGGAACUGAGACACGGCCCAGACUCCUACGGGAGGCAGCAGUGGGGAAUUUUGGACAAUGGGCGCAAGCCUGAUCCAGCAAUGCCGCGUGCGGGAAGAAGGCCUUCGGGUUGUAAACCGCUUUUGGCAGGAACGAAACGGUGUCCGCUAAUACCGGGCGCUAAUGACGGUACCUGCAGAAUAAGCACCGGCUAACUACGUG